rnacentral:rRNA from 1 species
GAUGAACGCUAGCUACAGGCUUAACACAUGCAAGUCGAGGGGCAGCAUGACGAUAGCUUGCUAUUGUUGAUGGCGACCGGCGCACGGGUGAGUAACGCGUAUCCAACCUGCCCAUCACUUGGGGAUAACCUUGCGAAAGUAAGACUAAUACCCGAUGAUAUCUCUAGACGACAUCUGAAAGGGAUUAAAGAUUUAUCGGUGAUGGAUGGGGAUGCGUCUGAUUAGCUUGUUGGCGGGGUAACGGCCCACCAAGGCGACGAUCAGUAGGGGUUCUGAGAGGAAGGUCCCCACAUUGGAACUGAGACACGGUCCAAAAUCCUACGGGAGGCAGCAGUGAGGAAUAUUGGUCAAAUGGGCGAGAGCCUGAACCAGCCAAGUAGCGUGCAGGAAGACGGCCCUAUGGGUUGUAAACUGCUUUUAUACGGGGAUAAAGUGGGCCACGUGUGGCUU